rnacentral:guide_RNA from 1 species
ACAAUGCAUACUAUCAUAAGUGGUUUUGUGAGAAUAAGAGAUUAAUUAU